UACGGAGGAUGCAAGUGUUAUCCGGAAUCACUGGGCGUAAAGCGUGUGUAGGUGGUUCGAAAAGUCCACUGUUAAAAAUUGAGGCUUAACUUCAAAGAUGCCGUGGAAACUUUCAAACUAGAGUAUGGUAGGGGUAGAGGGAAUUUCCAGUGGAGCGGUGAAAUGCGUAGAUAUUGGAAAGACCACCGAUGGCGAAGGCACUCUACUGGGCCAUUACUGACACUGAGAGACGAAAGCUAGGGGAGCAAAUGGG
rnacentral:rRNA from 1 species